GCCCUGGUGGUGGAAUUGGUAGACACAAGGGAUUUAAAAUCCUCGGCGUUCGCGCUGUGCCGGUUCAAGUCCGGCCCGGGCACCA
rnacentral:tRNA from 1 species